rnacentral:rRNA from 1 species
UUUUCAUCAGACAAUCUGUGUGAGCACUGCAAAGUACGCUUCUUUAAGGUAAGGAGGUGAUCCAACCGCAGGUUCCCCUACGGUUACCUUGUUACGACUUCACCCCAGUCAUGAAUCACAAAGUGGUAAGCGCCCUCCCGAAGGUUAAGCUACCUACUUCUUUUGCAACCCACUCCCAUGGUGUGACGGGCGGUGUGUACAAGGCCCGGGAACGUAUUCACCGUGGCAUUCUGAUCCACGAUUACUAGCGAUUCCGACUUCAUGGAGUCGAGUUGCAGACUCCAAUCCGGACUACGACGCACUUUAUGAGGUCCGCUUGCUCUCGCGAGGUCGCUUCUCUUUGUAUGCGCCAUUGUAGCACGUGUGUAGCCCUGGUCGUAAGGGCCAUGAUGACUUGACGUCAUCCCCACCUUCCUCCAGUUUAUCACUGGCAGUCUCCUUUGAGUUCCCGGCCGGACCGCUGGCAACAAAGGAUAAGGGUUGCGCUCGUUGCGGGACUUAACCCAACAUUUCACAACACGAGCUGACGACAGCCAUGCAGCACCUGUCUCACGGUUCCCGAAGGCACAUUCUCAUCUCUGAAAACUUCCGUGGAUGUCAAGACCAGGUAAGGUUCUUCGCGUUGCAUCGAAUUAAACCACAUGCUCCACCGCUUGUGCGGGCCCCCGUCAAUUCAUUUGAGUUUUAACCUUGCGGCCGUACUCCCCAGGCGGUCUACUUAACGCGUUAGCUCCGGAAGCCACGCCUCAAGGGCACAACCUCCAAGUAGACAUCGUUUACGGCGUGGACUACCAGGGUAUCUAAUCCUGUUUGCUCCCCACGCUUUCGCACCUGAGCGUCAGUCUUUGUCCAGGGGGCCGCCUUCGCCACCGGUAUUCCUCCAGAUCUCUACGCAUUUCACCGCUACNNNNNNNNNNNNNNNNNNNNCUGCCAGUUUCGAAUGCAGUUCCCAGGUUGAGCCCGGGGAUUUCACAUCCGACUUGACAGACCGCCUGCGUGCGCUUUACGCCCAGUAAUUCCGAUUAACGCUUGCACCCUCCGUAUUACCGCGGCUGCUGGCACGGAGUUAGCCGGUGCUUCUUCUGCGGGUAACGUCAAUUGCUGCGGUUAUUAACCACAACACCUUCCUCCCCGCUGAAAGUACUUUACAACCCGAAGGCCUUCUUCAUACACGCGGCAUGGCUGCAUCAGGCUUGCGCCCAUUGUGCAAUAUUCCCCACUGCUGCCUCCCGUAGGAGUCUGGACCGUGUCUCAGUUCCAGUGUGGCUGGUCAUCCUCUCAGACCAGCUAGGGAUCGUCGCCUUGGUGAGCCGUUACCUCACCAACAAGCUAAUCCCAUCUGGGCACAUCUGAUGGCAAGAGGCCCGAAGGUCCCCCUCUUUGGUCUUGCGACGUUAUGCGGUAUUAGCCACCGUUUCCAGUAGUUAUCCCCCUCCAUCAGGCAGUUUCCCAGACAUUACUCACCCGUCCGCCACUCGUCAGCAAAGCAGCAAGCUGCUUCCUGUUACCGUUCGACUUGCAUGUGUUAGGCCUGCCGCCAGCGUUCAAUCUGAGCCAUGAUCAAACUCUUCAAUUUAAAAGUUUGAUGCUCAAUGAAUUAAACUUCGUAAUGAAUUACGUGUUCACUCUUGAGACUUGGUAUUCAUUUUUCGUC